CAAGGCCUGAGCUCGCUGAGGAUGGCGGGAACUGAAGAGCAGCCGUCCGCAGUCCUCCCUUCUACCCGUGCCCCCGCGACCCGGCCCCUUCUCAAGCCCUCUGCACGGAUCGAAGCAGGUCCGUUGCUUGUGAAUGCAGUUCGGAAUCUGAAGAAACCCUCUCGCUGGUGGUUGUAAUGCUCAUUUACGAAAGCAUGAAAAUUCCCCCCGGAUCUUGAUGCAUGCCCACAGUUGCCAACGUCUGAAGAAUUCUGUUUUUCUCUGGAGAGACGUCCACACCUGCCAGUCACAAUAAUGCUUAGAUAUUGACAGGGACAGAUGUCCAAGAUAGCUUACGUGUGGGGUGGGGGGAACCCAAACCCACAGGCUACAGCCAACUCCAGGGUAAUAGAUCUUGACUGCAUUGGUAGAUUAUCUACUUAUGCGUAUAGUUCAGACACCAAGAAAGGAAGGAGGAGACACAACUUUUGAUAAUCUUUAUUUGCAAUGCUGAAAAUAAACCCAGGCCUUACACUAGGCAGGCAGGAACUUAACAUUGGAGGGAGA